CCCUUAGAUGUCCUGGGCCGCACGCGCGUUACACUGAUGCAUUCAACGAGCUUAUAACCUUGGCCGAGAGGCCUGGGCAAUCUUGUUAACGUGCAUCGUGAUAGGGAUAGAUUAUUGAAAUUAUUAAUCUUGAACGAGGAAUUCCUAGUAAACGCAGAUCAUCAAUCUGCAUUGAUUACGUCCCUGCCCUUUGUACACACCGCCCGUCGCUACUACCGAUUGAAUGGCUUAGUGAGGCCUCAGGAUCCGCGCUUAAUGUGUGGAGAAUUUGGACAAACUACGUCAUUUAGAGGAAGUAAAAGUCGUAACA
rnacentral:rRNA from 1 species